GGAUGGAAGAGCCACCCGAUCGCUAGAGUGACAUAUAACAUGGAUUUUCUGCAUAGGACACAGUGAACAUUUGGGAUCACAGAACUUUAGGAAGUGGAUGUUUUAUCUUACAGAGGAAGAAACUAAGGGCAAGAGAUGAACACAUUUCUUCUUGGGAUGUUCUUGACAGCCCCUGAGUCGUGAUGCACUGAAGAAAAUUCCACCCACUGACAUAACCAUUUCUGACCUGACAGCAUGCCUUAUCCGUGGGGCUCUGCUCAGGUGCAGAGUGACGCACCUGUCGUCUUCCCGGUCCCUACAGACCACCUGUGGAUUCUUGUGCAGGCUGUCUCUAGAGUGACUUCACGAAUGCCCAGCAUUUCUCAGAGCAUAAUAAGAGAAAAAAAACAAGACCUGUCUUUAUAAAGCAGCAUGCAGAUAUCUACAGAAGCUGUUAUUUGU
rnacentral:lncRNA from 1 species